AAUAAACUCCACCUGGCCUUAAUUCCCUGCUCCCCACUGCAACAGGAGCUUUGGAGACUCAAGAGACAGAUGAGCACACAUGGAAGAGAGAUGCUUGGUGCAGAGUGAGCAGGAGUGAGGAUCUGUGUUCUGCCACUGCAUCCAGCUUGCUGCACAGCCCGAGGCCACAUGAAACAGACAAACUCCAAGGCCUCCUGGGCUUUGCGGUCAAAGCUGAGUUGGACUCUUCUGCAGGGGAGGAAAGGGAAGUAGUAAGGGUGUCCCCAAACAUGCCAAACACUUGGGUGACAGAGACCAAGCCUUCUGGAAACAAUACUGCUGGGUUCCCACAGAAGUAGCAAGAGGGCCAAGAAAAAAAGAAAAAUCACCUUUGGCUCCCUCACAGCAGUGUUAUACCUUUUUCCUUUUUUUCUUUUAUUUUCUUUUCCUUCUUUUUUUUUUUUCCCCCUUUUUUUUAGUGAAGGAGAGGCUGAGCCUGCACACCCACACCAAAAUGCUUUUGACAUUUGGAGAUCUGCAGGAGUGGGUCACUAACUGGUGAGCUUGCUAUUGUCUACCAUGGCUGUUGCAAGACUCAAAGAGAGAGUAAGUGUGGCUAAAGGAAAGCAGGAUAACUCCUUCCUUUUCCAGAGGCUUCCCCUGGGGCUCAGUCCUUCACUCCUCUAAUUCUCUUUUGGACUUCAGCUCCUUCCC
rnacentral:lncRNA from 12 species